rnacentral:rRNA from 1 species
GGCUCAGAACGAACGCUGGCGGCAGGCCUAACACAUGCAAGUCGAGCGCACCCUUCGGGGCGAGCGGCGGACGGGUUAGUAACGCGUGGGAAUAUACCCUUCACUACGGAAUAGCCUCGGGAAACUGAGAGUAAUACCGUAUACGCCCUUCGGGGGAAAGAUUUAUCGGUGAUGGAUUAGCCCGCGUCUGAUUAGAUAGUUGGUGGGGUAAUGGCCUACCAAGUCUACGAUCAGUAGCUGGUUUUAGAGGAUGAUCAGCAACACUGGGACUGAGACACGGCCCAGACUCCUACGGGAGGCAGCAGUGGGGAAUCUUAGACAAUGGGCGAAAGCCUGAUCUAGCCAUGCCGCGUGUGUGAUGAAGGCCUUAGGGUCGUAAAGCACUUUCGCCAGGGAUGAUAAUGACAGUACCUGGUAAAGAAACCCCGGCUAACUCCGUGCCAGCAGCCGCGGUAAUACGGAGGGGGUUAGCGUUGUUCGGAAUUACUGGGCGUAAAGCGCACGUAGGCGGAUCAGAAAGUUGGGGGUGAAAUCCCAGGGCUCAACCCUGGAACUGCCCUCAAAACUCCUGGUCUUGAGUUCGAGAGAGGUGAGUGGAAUUCCAAGUGUAGAGGUGAAAUUCGUAGAUAUUUGGAGGAACACCAGUGGCGAAGGCGGCUCACUGGCUCGAUACUGACGCUGAGGUGCGAAAGUGUGGGGAGCAAACAGGAUUAGAUACCCUGGUAGUCCACACCGUAAACGAUGAAUGCCAGACGUCGGGCAGUAUA